GGGUGCUCGAGUGGCGACGGGUGAGUAACACGUGAGUAACCUGCCCUUGACUUUGGGAUAACUUCAGGAAACUGGGGCUAAUACCGGAUAGGAGCUCCUGCUGCAUGGUGGGGGUUGGAAAGUUUCGGCGGUUGGGGAUGGACUCGCGGCUUAUCAGCUUGUUGGUGGGGUAGUGGCUUACCAAGGCUUUGACGGGUAGCCGGCCUGAGAGGGUGACCGGCCACAUUGGGACUGAGAUACGGCCCAG
rnacentral:rRNA from 1 species